rnacentral:misc_RNA from 1 species
UAGCAAUAUACCUUCAUCAUCGCAUAUGGUGUUUUUGUCUCUAAGUUUAUUCGAUACGCAAGGGCAUGCUCUUCGUAUGAACAGUUUCUAAGGCGAGGUAAGCUAAUGACAAACAAGUUGAAAAAACAUCACGAUCAACGGUUUCGUUGAAAGUCAUCUUUUCGUAAGUUCUAUAGUCGAUACAACGACCUUGUCAGCAAUUACAAUCUUCCACUGGGUCGCAUGCUGACUGAAGUUUUUCAUACUAAUUGUUAGACCAUAAUUAAUCACCCAAUUGUCUACGAACUGUUAAUUCGUUUUCCCGAUUACGACCAAGAGCUCACGUUGGGUGUGACCGGUCAGCAGAAGAUGUUCACUCCUGCGAGACACUUGAUCCAACCUCUAUAUUUUUAGAGAUGCUUGUUGCUCUGCUAUCAAUUUGUAUUUCGUUUUAUGGAUUUUUAAGAUUGUUGACGGUUUUUAAUUGUCAUUUUUUAAUCUUUAUAAGCCUGCUUUUAGAGAAAAAACCAUUUACUAGUUUGUUCAGUUUACUUUGAAAGUGUUACGUUAUUAAUCUUAAAAAUGUAUGAUAUAAAUUAUUCCUCAGAUAUAGAUUAUGAAAUAUGUUAGAAAACUUAACUUUUGUUUUAUUUGAAAUAAUACGUCUAGGUAUGUGAGAGUGAAUCUGCCUUUGAAUGGAAGGUUGUACAGCUACACUGUAAGCUUCGAUGGAGAUCGUCGUGAAAUAGAUCCAAACAACACUUUUAUCGUGCCCAAUAAUGACUCAAUUGUCGUCAAAAUUGAGAGAAUGAUGGAGUUUAAACAGCCUGCUUAAUUAGGACUGACAAGUCUGUACACAGAAUCUGGGAAAGAAAACUAUUAUAAAUAUCAAAUCAAAAUUAUACAGAUUAUUUGUUUACUCCAAGUCUCUUAAAUGCAAAAUCAAAUAAAAAUAUUGACUUUUUUG